UAGAUACCCUGGUAGUCCACGCCGUAAACGAUGUCAACUAGUUGUUGGGUUCCUUGAGAACUUAGUAACGAAGCUAACGCGAUAAGUUGACCGCCUGGAGAGUACGGCCGCAAGGUUAAAACUCAAAUGAAUUGACGGGGGCCCGCACAAGCGGUGGAGCAUGUGGUUUAAUUCGAAGCAACGCGAAGAACCUUACCUGGCCUUGACAUGCUGAGAACUUUCCAGAGAUGGAUUGGUGCCUUCGGGAACU
rnacentral:rRNA from 1 species